rnacentral:sRNA from 1 species
GACUUCUCUAGUCUCUGUCCCACAGACAGGUAUAAAAUGUUAAGAGCCCUAUUGGAAUAUCUGCCACAGAGAAGGCAGAACAGUUGAAAAGAGCAGGCAAAAGAAUCCUCGAAGCUUAUGUAUCCAGACACAGACAGCUCCCGAUGUGCUGCCCCCUGAGAAAACACUUGAAUUGACGCAAUAUAAAACAAAAUGUGAAAACCAAAGUGGAUUUAUCCUGCAGCUCAAGCAGCUUCUUGCCUGUGGUAAUACCAAGUUUGAGGCAUUGACAGUUGUGAUUCAGCACCUGCUGUCUGAGCGGGAGGAAGCGCUGAAACAACACAAAACCCUAUCUCAAGAACUUGUUAACCUCCGGGGAGAGCUAGCUUGACCUUCAGUUCACAGAAUUCCUGGCACUGAUCUGACUAAGCCUAGCAGAACUUCUGAUGAGCAAAACGUUUCUCUUGCUGAAGAGAGGGACAGAAUUAUUUUUGUAAUUGUGUGAAUUCCUGUUAAAUAAUGUUGUCAUUUUUUUUUUUCUGAACCACUUUUCGUAUGAGAAUAGUG